rnacentral:rRNA from 1 species
CCUACGGGUGGCAGCAGUUCUUACUAUUUUUCCCUUUUCUCUCUCCUGCCCCCGCCCCGUCGCGUGAGGGAUGACGGCCCUACGGGUUUUAAACCUCUUUUUCCGGGGAGCAACUGGCUCCACGUAUGUCUUCACUUAUAGUACCUGGAGAAAAAGCAUCGGCUAACUCCGUGCCAGCAGCCGCGGUAAUACGGAGUAUGCUAGCGUUAUCCGUAUUUAUUGGGUUAAAGGGGUGCGUAGGCGGGUCGUUAAGUCAGGGGGAAAAUUUAGGGGAUCAACCCCUUCGCGCCAGUGAAACUGGAGUUCUUGAGUGGAAGAGAGGAAUGCGGAAUGCGUGGUGUAGCGGUGAAAUGCAUAGAUAUAGCGCAGAACACCAAUUGCGAAGGCAGCAUGCCGGCUUCCGACUGACGCUGAAGCACGAAAGCGUGGGGAUCGAACAGGAUUAGAUACCCCUGUAGUC